rnacentral:rRNA from 1 species
UACGUAGGGCGCAAGCGUUGUCCGGAAUUAUUGGGCGUAAAGAGCUCGUAGGCGGUUUGUCGCGUCUGCUGUGAAAACCUAAGGCUCAACCUUGGGCUUGCAGUGGGUACGGGCAGACUAGAGUGCGGUAGGGGUGACUGGAAUUCCUGGUGUAGCGGUGGAAUGCGCAGAUAUCAGGAGGAACACCGAUGGCGAAGGCAGAUCUCUGGGCCGUAACUGACGCU